GACGAACGCUGGCGGCGUGCUUAACACAUGCAAGUCGAACGGAAAGGCCCUGCUUGCAGGGUACUCGAGUGGCGAACGGGUGAGUAACACGUGGGUGAUCUGCCCUGCACUUCGGGAUAAGCUUGGGAAACUGGGUCUAAUACCGGAUAGGACCGCACUUUAGUGUGUGUGGUGGAAAGUUUUUUCGGUGUAGGAUGAGCUCGCGGCCUAUCAGCUUGUUGGUGGGGUAAUGGCCUACCAAGGCGGCGACGGGUAGCCGGCCUGAGAGGGUGUACGGCCACAGUGGGACUGAGAUACGGCCCAGACUCCUACGGGAGGCAGCAGUGGGGAAUAUUGCACAAUGGGCGCAAGCCUGAUGCAGCGACGCCGCGUGGGGGAUGAAGGCCUUCGGGUUGUAAACUCCUUUCGCUAGGGACGAAGCGUUGUUGUGACGGUACCUAGAUAAGAAGCACCGGCUAACUACGUG
rnacentral:rRNA from 1 species